rnacentral:rRNA from 1 species
CUACGGGGUGCUCCAGUGGGGAAUAUUGCACAAUGGGCGCAAGCCUGAUGCAGCCAUGCCGCGUGUAUGAAGAAGGCCUUCGGGUUGUAAAGUACUUUCAGCGGGGAGGAAGGGUGUAAAGUUAAUACCUUUGCUCAUUGACGUUACCCGCAGAAGAAGCACCGGCUAACUCCGUGCCAGCAGCCGCGGUAAUACGGAGGGUGCAAGCGUUAAUCGGAAUGACUGGGCGUAAAGCGCACGCAGGCGGUUUGUUAAGUCAGAUGUGAAAUCCCCGGGCUCAACCUGGGAACUGCAUCUGAUACUGGCAAGCUUGAGUCUCGUAGAGGGGGGUAGAAUUCCAGGUGUAGCGGUGAAAUGCGUAGAGAUCUGGAGGAACACCGGUGGCGAAGGCGGCCCCCUGGACGAAGACUGACGCUCAGGUGCGAAAGCGUGGGGAGCAAACAGGAUUAGAUACCCCUGUAGUC